rnacentral:rRNA from 1 species
GUAAGGCCCUUCGGGGUACACGAGCGGCGAACGGGUGAGUAACACGUGGGUGAUCUGCCUUGCACUUCGGGAUAAGCCUGGGAAACUGGGUCUAAUACCGGAUAUGACCACUGAUCGCAUGGUCGGUGGUGGAAAGAUUUAUCGGUGCGAGAUGGGCCCGCGGCCUAUCAGCUUGUUGGUGAGGUAACGGCUCACCAAGGCGACGACGGGUAGCCGACCUGAGAGGGUGACCGGCCACACUGGGACUGAGACACGGCCCAGACUCCUACGGGAGGCAGCAGUGGGGAAUAUUGCACAAUGGGCGAAAGCCUGAUGCAGCGACGCCGCGUGCGGGAUGACGGCCUUCGGGUUGUAAACCGCUUUUGACAGGGACGAAGCGCAAGUGACUGUACCUGUAGAAUAAGGACCGGCCAACUACGUGCCAGCAGCCGCGGUAAUACGUAGGGUCCGAGCGUUGUCCGGAAUUACUGGGCGUAAAGAGCUUGUAGGCGGUUCGUCGCGUCGUUUGUGAAAACUUGGGGCUCAACCUUAAGCUUGCAGGCGAUACGGGCGGACUAGAGUACUUCAGGGGAGACUGGAAUUCCUGGUGUAGCGGUGAAAUGCGCAGAUAUCAGGAGGAACACCGGUGGCGAAGGCGGGUCUCUGGGAAGUAACUGACGCUGAGAAGCGAAAGCAUGGGUAGCAAACAGGAUUAGAUACCCUGGUAGUCCAUGCCGUAAACGGUGGGUACUAGGUGUGGGGCUCCUUCCACGGACUCCGUGCCGUAGCUAACGCAUUAAGUACCCCGCCUGGGGAGUACGGGCCGCAAGGCUAAAACUCAAAUGAAUUGGACGGGGGA